CGUGUGUAUUUGUUGUUUUGUUUCUCGUCGCUGCUGUCGCCCCCUGGCGGCGGCUCCUGGCAGCAGCAGGUAAAGGGCGUGGCCAGUCAUAUCUGCGGCAGUUACCUGAGAGCAACAAGAUUAAAGGACGCUGCUGGCGGCGUCCGCUUUAAUCUACACAAAAGAAAACAAGAUGGUGGAACAGACCAGGCAGCCGCGUCGCGUGGUGUCCCUCCAGGCUGGACCUGGGGAGGGGGACCCCCACGCCCUGUUUGAUGUGACCCUCAGGAUCAAUGACAGAGCUGCACGGGUUGUUGGGCGCCAGUUGGCUAUAAUGGGAGACCAGUUGGAGCGGGAGUGGACCAGCAGACCGCCCAACUGGUUACCAGCACCACUCCACAUGCUGAGACCUGCUCAGGCUCUCACCAGGAACAUU